rnacentral:rRNA from 1 species
GACGAACGCUGGCGGCGUGCUUAACACAUGCAAGUCGAACGGAAAGGCCCUGCUUUUGUGGGGUGCUCGAGUGGCGAACGGGUGAGUAACACGUGAGUAACCUGCCCUUGACUUUGGGAUAACUUCAGGAAACUGGGGCUAAUACCGGAUAGGAGCGCCUGCUGCAGGGUGGGGGUUGGAAAGUUUUGGCGGUUGGGGAUGGACUCGCGGCUUAUCAGCUUGUUGGUGGGGUAGUGGCUUACCAAGGCUUUGACGGGUAGCCGGCCUGAGAGGGUGACCGGCCACAUUGGGACUGAGAUACGGCCCAGACUCCUACGGGAGGCAGCAGUGGGGAAUAUUGCACAAUGGGCGGAAGCCUGAUGCAGCAACGCCGCGUGCGGGAUGACGGCCUUCGGGUUGUAAACCGCUUUCGCCUGUGACGAAGCGUGAGUGACGGUAAUGGGUAAAGAAGCACCGGCUAACUACGUG